GCGCGGUUGGCGUAGUGGUCAACGCGUUCGCUUAACAGAUAGCGCUUCGAGUACCUGUUUGGUGUUCGUUGUCUAUCCCUUUUUGGGGGGUCUUACAGACAGUGAGAGUUCCCAGGCUCGAAUCCCGAACCGCGCA
rnacentral:tRNA from 1 species